GGGAGGGAGGGAGGAGAAGCAUAAGGAGGGCUCGGGUUCGAGGUCACUUCAUGGGGCCCAGGAUGCACCAGGCCCAUGGUGUGCUGGCCGUGGAGGGGUCUGGCAGUGCAUGUGGGCCCGUGAAUGAGACGUAGUGUGUGGAGUUGAGGAAGAGACAACAAAGCGGGGCUGAUGGAGAGGCUACCUGAGGAGAUGCGGGUGAUGAAGGAUCGGGAAAGCUCGUGCAGAGACCAGUGCCCUGCUGGGAGGGGAGCUUUCAGUGUGAGAGGGUUAACCGCUUGGCCUUUAAGGCCCAAGCCAGCUCUAAUGCACUGAUCCUACGGGGCCCGUGAGACACAAGGCCUGGGAACCACCCUCUCCAGGUGCUCCCUGUCUAUACUCAACUGUCCGUCCUCCUCCUUGUUUGGAAUCGAGUGUUUCAAGAACAGGUUCCCUUGGCAAUCUAGUUAGAAUGUUGUCAGGCCAGCUUGUACUCCACCCCAGCAUCUCGCAGUCUCUCCAAACUGGGGUCUCUUGGCCUCCCUUGUGGGUGCAGCCCUGUCGCAGCCUCCAGGCUCCGCUCUGCGGCAGCAGGUGCACAGAACAGCAGAGCUAGUUCGGGCUCGUCUGGUGUCCGCUUCUGAUGUGUGAACUUGCUCCUGUUUCUGAGACUUGCGGACUCCGCUGGGGUUAACUGGGGAUUUGCCUUGCUUCUCAUACUCGGAUCUGUUAUGGAAACCCUGGGCCUUGGCUUGCACAUCCCAGGCUCGGUAGCUGGGCCCUGAUAUCUGCUGACUCCUUUUCCUGAUGGCAGCUUCUGCUUGUCCAAACUGCUGAGCGUCCCGUGCCUCCAGUCAUCCUGAUAGGCUUACCUGCAGCCUACUCCUCAGUACAUAUAUGCUGUUCUGCUGUUCUAGCAUCACUGUCGCUGGUGCACCCAUCUCCCAGGUUCUGACUGUGUCCCGAAAGUAGAGCCAGCAUGUGGGCUGUGAGAGAAAGAGAUGAGCAAAGAAAAAUUCCAAGGUUUUUGGCUUGGAAAACCGGAAGGAAGGAGUUGCCGACCGAGAUGGGCAAGGCUCGUGCCUCACUUUACACACAGACAAGACGGCACAUACUCACCAUCAGCAAAGGUCCUUUUCAAUAUUUCCUACCGCAGACGGGGGUUGGCUCCACGGCUCCCUCAUUUUCUCUCAUGUGGGGUCGGCGGUGUGCGUCGGCGGUAAGACGCCGCGGAGGCAGAAGCAGAGACUGUCCCGGGAGCGGUGCGGUGCAUAGCGUCACAUCGGAUGGAAUACGCGGUUUAAGAAGAAUCUUCCCUCUGCAAACACGCUCGCCGAUCACACCUGCGGGGGGCCUGGCUUUCUGUGGUUCACAUAUUCUUCAUCCGCAUUCAACUUUUCCUUUAACGUGAGAGUACUUCUGCUGCAUCAGUGACCUCCUUGGGCCAAAUGUUAAGUACAGUUUAUGCUAAGCCAGUUUAUUUCUGCUAAAAGUAGACCUCUGCUUAUCAUGUCUGUCCUUUCUUCCCUCGAAGACAGACAAACGAAUAAAGCCAGCCACCUCGAGAAGCUGAUGCUCUCGGCACAGGGCUGAGUGCUAUGCUAGGAACAGUUCCAUCUGCUAAAUGCCUACACAGGGCUGGUAGUAAAAAUCACAGCAAAUUUCCAUCUUUUCCUGCAACACCCAAGUCCUUCCAAGGAAACUCCCCAUCCGGCCACAUGAGAUAAAAUUAGAAACCUGCUAACUUUGCUGCCUCCCCAGGACUGCUAACUUCAACAGAGGCUGCAUUUCUUCAAUUACGGAACUAUAAACAGUAAGCUAAUAACAACGGAGAAGAGGAAAACAACAAUAAAGAAACAAAAACUAAC
rnacentral:lncRNA from 1 species